rnacentral:rRNA from 1 species
CGUAGGGCGCGAGCGUUGUCCGGAUUUGUUGGGCGUAAAGAGCUCGUAGGCGGCUUGUCGCGUCGACCGUGAAAACUUGGGGCUCAACCCCAAGCCGGCGGUCGAUACGGGCAGGCUCGAGUUCGGUAGGGGAGACUGGAAUUCCUGGUGUAGCGGUGAAAUGCGCAGAUAUCAGGAGGAACACCGGUGGCGAAGGCGGGUCUCUGGGCCGAUACUGACGCUGAGGAGCGAAAGCGUGGGGAGCGAACAGGAUUAGAUACCCUGGUAGUCCACGCUGUAAACGUUGGGCGCUAGGUGUGGGGGACCUCUCCGGUUCUCUGUGCCGCAGCUAACGCAUUAAGCGCCCCGCCUGGGGAGUACGGCCGCAAGGCUA